rnacentral:tRNA from 1 species
GGGCUCAGUGGCAGGACAUCUGCUUGGCAUGCAGAAGGUCCCAGAUUCAAUCCUGGCAUUUCCUGGCAUCUCC